CAGAGAUGUAACUACCCCGAAGUACUGCCACAUUCGGGGAUGACAAAGACUCAGCUGAAAGUCUAGGGCUCUCUUCCCAUCCCAAUCCAGUUACUUCCAUUGUCAGUAACUUUGCUUCCCUAGACUGCUACCUGAGACUCUCUUCUUGUGUAAAAUUGGUGGAGGAGCAAGGAAAAAGGAUUAGAUGGUACCUCUCUAGACAUUCCUCGUCUCUUGGCACUGGGGCGGCUAAAUUAUCAGCAACAGGUGAGGAAACAGCAGCGUUUAUUGAUUUCUUUACAUUUCCUUUUUUGUGCGGUGGAUAUACAUAUAAUUCUGGUUCAAGACAUCACAUUCUGUCAGUAAUUUGAACUCCUCUAUACUGUACUCUACUGGGCAAACUAAGACAGGAUCCUGAGGCAGAGGAAUGGAGAAUGUGGAGGAUGAAGAAGGAGCCAGAAAAGCAUUGGGUUCCCCCAAACACCCUGCUGCCCCUGGCAACCCUUCCUUUCCUGCAAUGAAUCACAGCUCCACAGCCCAAGGGACCCAGGAGUCCCCUCCUCUCCACAAAUACCACCAUUUCCAUAGCAACAGGGCCUCUUUCCUUCCCUCUCUGUGACUGAGUUUUACCACCAACGCCAUUUCCCCAGAGAGUGGUCUGGGUUCCUAGCUUUUUAAAAAAAAUUUUUUUUGGUAACGAGUUUUGUUUGGCCUUAGCCUUUGACUCAUUGGGAAUCUUAUUUGAAUAUCAUAUGCACAGUCCUUUUGAGUUCCUUAAAAAUCACCCAAGCUCUCUUCCCUUUUUCCUAGUAUCUCCCAGACUCCCUCUGCCCACUAAGCCACUGUCCCUCUCUCCUACUUUCCCUUCGGCUCCUCUCUUCUAUUCUGAGACUUUUUCAGAUCCAUAAGACACAUAAAGCGGGAAAACUUGUCCUGGAAGCCCCAGUUGUACUGUCUUGCUUAUGGCACUCUGUGUCAUUCAUCUUAGUACUCAGGACCGGAUUUCUUUUUCAUGUCUAAACACCCCAACUCAAUUCCCUUCAGUCAAGAGGCAGCACCUUGGCCAGCAGCCAGAUUGGAUAUGCCACCUAGUGGCUCAGACUCUCCCUAGGCUGGCUCCACCCCCACACACCCAUCCAGCACACAAAGUGAAACCACCUGUCUGCUCUUCUCAAUCCUCAGCCCGCUGUGGAUAAGUUAUGUGCUGGAUGGGGUGGGGGGUUGGGGGUGGAGAUAUUCAGAGGAAGAAAACACAAUAUCUGAUUUCAAGAAGCCCCUAGUGUGAUGGGAGAGAUACAGCCCUUGCUCUAAGGGAUCACACUCAUAGUCUGAGGAAAAAAUACCUGCUCUUGGGGAGUUA